AACUUGGACAAUAGCUAGCACACAGUACAGUUGUCUAACACAAUUGUCAUUACGCUUAUUUAUUUUCCUUCUGUGAGCAUAUCUUACAUUGAUCAACUCCAGAAUUCGAUGUAUAUGUAGAUAGUGUAGGACCACACUCGCGUGUCUAGAGACAAAUAUGUGUAUUAGUUUCCCUUUCGACAAUGUCCUGCGGAGUCAACAUGUUGUUGUCAAUGGAUUUUCACUAUUGAAUAUGCUUUCUAAAUAUCUGUAGAGUCAAGAAAAUGUCACGUUUUCGAUCUAUAGAUAAUCAUUCCUUCCAUAUUACUAAGCAUUGGUGCAGUAAUACAUGACACAACGAAACAACUGGCUAUUUGUUUGCGCUUGCUCAGCGGUCAAAUUAUAGCAGGAACAAAAAAGUAUAAAUUAUAGCAGGAACAAAACCUAAAACCGCAGAGAAAUUAUAACGUAUUUAUGUUCAUUAAUAAUUUGUCUUGUAAUAUUGGUUUUAGUUUUUUGUUAUUUGCUUCAAUAAAAUAAGGGUUAGAAAAUAUUGUUAAUAAGUUGAAGGAGCGGAGAAAACUCUGGGGGCGUGGAACUUGAAUCUGCUCGAACCAGCCACGCUCGCUCACCCACCAGAUACACAUUUGAAGAACUUCUAACAGAAGAAAGGAGUGUUUUUGGCAGUAAUGCGCCAUAACGUUGGAUGCCAACCGCUGAUAAACCCCACAGACGAAGAGUGUAGUUGUUGAUUGCUAAAUCUCGGUUGGGAAAAUGCAUGUUUACCGUUGACCUCCGGUAUGUGUGAGGAGAGGAGCGGCGCAGGCUUUCUAAUUAAACUCUUCAAUUCAACUUUUGAGGAUGGUGCCCCAUAAUGCUUGAAAUGCUACUCAGCUCAAUGUGCUGGGACAGAUAGAGCUGACACAACAUGUAUAACGCUUGUGAAAAUGCCAGAUCAAGAGAAUGGAGCGACGGUGACGGAUACAGCUGCCAUAGUAUGGCUCACUGGGAAGGUGAUCCCCCAGCUGGAGAAAGACAGUACCUCACCCAACAGGCAGGGGAACACCAGUGGCUGAACCGUGAGGAUGAAGCUGCCGUGUGGGCCCACUACAACUCCCAUCAACAAAACUCUCAGAUGGACUUCCGUGGACAUCGGACACAAGAGACCCAGCCGCCUCCUCUGUAUCAUCAGGACCAUCACAGAAGUCAGAACAUAAGGGAUAGGCCCAAUCUCUAUGGACCCUUGAGAGAACAGGCACCUCCUAAUGUAACCUUACACUGCAGUGGAGAGAGAACAGAAACGUGGGCUAACCAUGAACCCCACUUCCCCAGCAAUGACUUUUUACCCCCACUCAACGUCGAAAGAGGGCAUGAGGAUAUUUCCCAUCACCAUAACACCGACCAGGAUUAUCUGGUUGGUCGUGGAGUGAAUCAUAACAAUCUCCAUUACUUGGAAAGCAAAUGGCAGAUGUUCGAUCCCACCCAUUCCAAUGGACAUGCUAGAGGACAUUGCAAUGUACAUUCAAGGGGAUAUUUUACUGAAUGCUCAAGGGGACGUUCUAGGGGUGGUUCCAGUGGAAAUUCUAGGGGUGGUUCUAGUGUAUGUUCUUGGGGUGGUUCCAGGGGUCGGUCUAGUGGACGUUCUCAGGGUGGUUCCAGGGGUCGGUCUAGUGGACGUUCUCGGGGUGGUUCCAGGGGUCAGUCUAGUGGACGUUCGAGGGCCCAUUCCAAAGCAGCCAGCCAUGGUAUACUAGGACCUAGUGUUCCUUCCCAAACCUCUGUCACCACUGACCAGCAAUAUGCUCCCUCUCCUCCCAAACCUCUCACUGAGACACUUCAGGAAAAACCUCCUGAUAAACAUAAGAUCUCACUCAAUGAAAUACAGGACUGGCUCCACAGUGUUUUAAGAUCUAAAAAUGGACCCAUAAAUGGGAACAACUCAACACAAGACCCCUCCCAGGCACAACAAUUCAGCACAGAGAAGAUGGAUAUUUUACAAGGAGGCAAAAGGCACCUACAUAGUAACACCAAAGACAACCAGGCGAGGCCCCCUGAGAGGUUUAGUCCUGAGGACUCCACUAUACGGCUGGAGAUUAAGUCCACCCCCAGGUGCAUGACCCUGACGGCAGUCGCCACCACUCCGCCCCCUGUGGCUAUUGUCCCUCCAAUGGGUCCACAGCAGUCCCCAGAGCCAAUGGAGACAGAGAAUACAGGCAAUGAGCUGCCAUUUAAGAUUUUACGGGCCUGGUCCAUCAACGAACAACAAGUGGAAAGCCUGUGGGAAAGAGCUAAAGAUGAUGCAAGUUCUCUCUCUGUCCGAAAUGAGCCGGUUCAAGUUGAGAGUUUUAUGGAGUAUGAUAAGCCUGUAGAUGCAUCUGCAACAAGUUCACUGGCAUCUACUGGAGAGGACAAUGAUGAGGUCCUUCAGGUCAUCACACAGACGGACAAGAGUUCACCUUCACCAUUUGUCCACACCAUCCCUCAGGCAACUGAUAUUGUACGCAACGGAGGUACCCAGACAAUCGUGGAAGUUAGCUCCAACGGCGCAGAUGAGAGAUCUCUUGUUCUGUCCACAAUUGCUGAAGUUCAGUUCAAGUUACGUACGCUGCAGCAACUGGUUACUUAUCGGGAGAAUGCAGCAACAAUCACAGAGGCAAAGGAUGGUUGUCUAGAAGCCAUAUUGGAGCAGUAUUGGGGCGGGGAAACCUCUAACCUGGUAGAAGCUUUAAAAGAUAAAAGGGAUAAGGAAAUCAUGCGAGAUGUGUCUGCCUGGGCCGCAGAGGAUGAGGAAGCAGUGGUUCUCUUUGCAGUCAGUGGUAUAUCACUGGAGGAAGUGGUCGAGAAGUUUCCCAUUCCAGCGCAUGUUGACAGCUCUUCCCAAGUGGGUUACAGGUCAUCCUGGUUAAAUGUCAAUGAGAAGCUGAAUGACAUUGACAAAGAAUCUGGAAGAGCUUGGUCUCUCUGGUUCAUACCAGAUAAAGCAGAGGAGAGUUCCAAAGUUGUUGGGGGAGUCAAAAUGGAUGACACCUUCCACAGCAAGAUGGAGACUGUGGAAUUUCCUGCACGACAACCUGUUGUAACAACAGGCUCAGACCUCACAACAAACAUAGACCUCAUGAUGGUUGCAGACUCCUCAACAGACACAGACCUCCCAACAGAUGCAGACUUGGAGACCGAACCCCUUUCCCCAAUGAUUUUGACCGUCCUCACACCAGAGGAUGCUGUGAAACUGCUUGCUGAAACAGAGGCACCAGGCGCAGACCUCACAACAGACACAAACUGCCCGACAAAUGCAGACCUCACAACCGACUCAGACACAGACCCCCUUUCCCCAAUGCAUUUGACCGUCCUGACAUCUGAGGAUGCCAUGAGACUGUUUUGCCAGAUCGAAAAUGGCUCUGACCUCCAACUCGGGUCCCAUGAACCAUGCUCUGAAGACAAAGACGAGACAAAGACAAAGCAACAAGAGAAUAUAGAAAGUGGCAGCUUAGAUAAGUCCUGCUAUUGUCCUUGUAUUAUUGAAACUGACAAUGGGUUUGAAAGUGGCCUAUGCACCAGUUGUCAGAGGGAGAAAGGACUGCAGCAAGGUACAAGAUGCUUAACAAUCGCUCAAUGCUUUACCCUGUUAGAUACAAGCGACAAUUCAGAUCAGGAGACAGAAGAGGUCCCUAAGGACUCUGGGGGGAAGGCGACUGGGGACAAUCAAUGCAGGGACAAGAAGCAGAUACAAUCAACUGAAGAAGAGGGUGAUGACAAUCAAUCCUGUGACAAUAAGACAGAGGGAGAAAUGCAGCAAUGUACAGGUGUCAUACCGAUCACUGACUUUUUAUUCUGGUCAGAUACAAUUGAGGAUUCAGAUCAGGAGACAGAGGAGAACCCUAAUGAACAACAUGCUCAGAUUGAGGCUCAUGCUUCUAAUGUUAAAAGGACAGAGCCUGAAACUGAUGCCAAAGCACCCUGUGAGUCAGCCCAAGAACAUACUACCCAAAGUAAAGUCAGUCCUGGUUCUGAGGAUAGGGAAAUGCCGCAAGAGAAGGACCAAGACUGUAGGACGAGUACAUUACCAAUUCCCACGUUUGAAAACCCCUCUAAGUUAAGAGCUAACAUCAUAGCAGACAAGUGGUGUUCACCUGUAGAGGACUGUGGUUCACCUGCAGAGAAGUAUGACAAAGUUGCUGACUUUGUCCCUCAAUACAAAACCUGCAACUCAAAGAAAAAUGGAAAAGAAAAAAUGGAAAAGGAGGAAACCCUCCAUCCAACAUCAUCUGACAGACAAAAGCCCAAGAAACGCCAUGGGAGAGCAGAGAGAGGACAGUCACCAUCCCAACCCCCUAAGAGCUCUGGGGUGAAGGCAACUUUGAAUAAUCAACGCAGGGACAAGAAGCCACAUGCGUCACACAAGAGGAGACAUUUGACUGAGAGGGAUGAAAGUCGAUGCAAAGACAAGAAGAGGGGAUCAUCAACUGAGAAAGAGCGUGAGGGCAGUCAAUCCAGGGACAAUAAGCCACCGAAGAGGAGACAUUCAACUGAGAAAGAGAGUGAGGACAAUCAAAGUAGAGGCAAGAAGGGGAGACUUUCAAUGGAACAACUGGGUGAGGCCAGUCAAUCUAGGGACAAGACGUCGCAGAAGAGGAGAAAUUCAACUAAAACUGAAAGCAGGAACUCCAAAGAGUUCCAGUGCCAGUUGGUGGAAAGCGAGAGCGACAGAGGCAGUAAGAAGUCACCGCCGUGCCCUGGGGUGAAAACCCUCCAUGUGCUGGGAUCCUCAUCUACCACUGUUCCUCUCAAACUCUCCCUAAACAUCCACAAAAAGCCUUCCACAAAUGGCUCACCCUCAACACAUACUGAGGAAGUCGCCAAAAAGCCAAAGACUAAAACCCCAUACAAAACUAGCAGACACCACUCCCCUGCAAUGUCAGUGUCUCCUGUUGUCAAAGAGAGGCAGAGGAACGGUGUGAAACACAAGCAAAAAAUUCAACCCCUAAAAGUCAGAUUGAAAAAGCUGUCCUUACCCAAACAUCUUGUCAGGAAAGGUUCCCCACCAAGGCAGAAGAGGGUGGAGGAUAGAGGAGACCCUCUGAGUUUAGGGGUAAUGGUCUCUAAGAAUCCUGACUCGUGCAAGAAACUAAAACGUAAGGCAGAGAGCGACUUGACAUCCCAACAGAUGUUGUCAAAGAUUCCAAAGGUGUUGAAUAGGAAUGAGACAGGAAAGUUGUCAAAAAGCGAGCGUGAGUGCGACUCGCUGCCCCGCAAGCCAAAGCUGCCAAGAAUUCUGAAGCUUCUAAGAACUCCAGAGGUUUCAAAGGAUGGGAAUGAGAGAGAGAACAGAGAAAAGACAUCUCCCAGUGCUUCACCUGAAUCACAAAUGCUAAACAAACCUGCAAGAGUGGCACACAAGCCCAAACCUUGUAUCAAGCCUGCCAGUCCCAAUGGUUAUAGCCCAGGUAGUCAUGCUUGCUCUAAUCCGGCUAGGAUAUCACAGCAACAUGGCAAUGGACAUUAUGGGGCAAAAGUUACUGCGAGGCAGCAGGUGUUCUCAGAUUGGGAGAGCAGCUUUGUCCCGACUCCAACCCCCCGGACUCGUAGACGAUCAGGGUGUUCUCCAGAGGAAGUGGAAGGUCCACAGGCCAGUCCCAGGUGCAGCUCGGAGACCAGGAUCAUUCGACCCAUUCUAAAACGUGUCGAUUCUCUGCCGAAACCCAAGCGGAAUGUCAGCUUUCUUUUGAAUCCAAUGAACGUGCACUACUUCAAUCCCCGUGAAUAUGAAAAUCACGUAAUGUUCAACAGGUCUUACACAGAUCCGGAAGAUGCACAGCCUUCUGACGAUGAAGAGGAAGAUGCUUCUGUGAACUGCCAGAAUCUGAAGGAACAGUCCCCUCUUAGGGAAGAGAAGCGGCAAGAUCUAGGGGAGCUGAAGCCUGGACCAAGCGCUGCAUGUGAAAAGAGCUUCAAAAGGAAGUGGGAAAUGCAGGAGCCUGCUCCCAUUUUGAUGAAGAAGAGCAUUGUUCAGGCAAAGCGUUUGACAAAGUCUCUCCAUCAUGAACCUCCAAAAGACUCGGCAAGAAAAACUGGAGUUGGUUACAAGUGGUCAGAGAAGCAGAGGAAGAGGCCCAAUGAAACUGAAGGUACAUCGCAGGCUAUGCCAGCCUCACAUGAACUUCCCGUACAUAUUUGCCCAUGGUAGAAGAUGUGAGAAAGUGACUUUUUGGACCAGAAUGCCAAAACAUUCAGGAGAUAGAGGUGCCCAAAGUUGACGAUUUUGCAUACCCUACCGUACAUCCAUGUCUUCAUCACUGGAAAGGUACCUCUCUGAAUGCAAGCCUCCCUCACGGUCACCAUCCAGGUUCCUCUCAGAAUGUAAGCCCCCAUCGUGGUUACCAUUUAUCCUCCAGCCAAGUGAGAAGAGUUGAGCCAAUGGCCAGUCACCAUAGCUCUCCUGUGGGCGAAUGGAACGAGCGUUGGUCAGGAGAUUUGUAAGCAUAUCAGUCGGCUCUGACAGGAUACACGAGACGGGAACAGUAGUUGAUGGCAACUGGCAAAGACAAUACUUUUACCUCAAACCUGACAUUAUUCAUAUGCUGUUCUUUAAAAAAAACUUGAAACAUUACCAGACAGCCAUAUUUAGGCUACAUUAUGCAGUUGACUUUUCUACAUGUCUUUAUCUGUUUUUAAAUGAACAGACAUCUGAUUUCUCUCCCUAUAAUAGGUUCGGUUAGCUGUGGUUGAAACCGUCAGACGUAUGUUUUAUAUACCAUGUGUUACUGUUACUCUUGACACCUAAGGGUGAUUGGUGUUCGGUUACUCUUAUAGUAUUGUUUGCCUACAUUGUUAGAGCGUCAUAGUGAUUGAAUCAUCAUAGUGAUGGUAUUGUACAUUGUAUUAAGUUUGUUUACAGUCUUUUUUUAUUGACCAUUUGUUUUAUUGCAGCCAGAACCAAAGCUAAAGGGGAGAAACCAGACUGAGAUUAUUGUUUUAUGAGAUUCUGCUGUCUCAUACACAAAGAAAUGUGUCAAUUGUAACUUUUUUUUUUUUUUUACACUGGGGAUAAAAUGAAUCAGAUAUCCGUCAUCAAAUUAUAUUUGAAGCCAUUGUCACUUUAUCUCUGUGGCCGUAGAUGUUGCUUGUAGUUAAAUUCAACUACUGCUAAUGUUUUGGCUAUUGCGGAAUGGUGUGUACUUUACAGGUCACUGGUUUUAUACUUCGUCUUAAACAUUGGUCGAAAUGCCAUUUUUGUUUUUAAUAUAUGUCAGUUUUUGUCCGUUUUGAUAUUGUACUGUUUUAGUUUACCUCUGAUGUUUACUGUGUUGUUAUGGCACUGAACUAAUAUAUAAAUACAGAAAAUAUG